CGGGGUGCACCAGGCGCGAAAACUUUACAAUGCUGGCAACAGCGAUAAGGGGACCUCGAGUGCCAGGAUACAAUCUUGGCUGUCGUGAUGCCUAAAAAGCAUUGCAUAGCAAGGGCCGGGCAAGACCGGUGCCAGCCGCCGCGGUAACACCGGUGGCUCGAGUGGUAACCGCUAUUAUUGGGUCUAAAGGGUCUGUAGCCGGCCGGAUAAGUCUCUUGGGAAAUCCGACAGCUCAACUGUCGGGCUUUCAGGGGAUACUGUUCGGCUCGAGGCCGGGAGAGGUGAGAGGUACUUCAGGGGUAGGGGUGAAAUCUUGUAAUCCUUGAAGGACCACCAGUGGCGAAGGCGUCUCACCAGAACGGUCCUGACGGCAAGGGACGAAAGCUAGGGGCACGAACCGGAUUAGAUACCCGGGUAGUCCUAGCCGUAAACGAUACUCGCUAGGUGUCGGCCACGGUGCGACCGUGGUCGGUGCCGUAGGGAAGCCGUGAAGCGAGCCACCUGGGAAGUACGGCCGCAAGGCUGAAACUUAAAGGAAUUGGCGGGGGAGCACAAGGGCGAUUCGCGG
rnacentral:rRNA from 1 species